UCUCAAUACUAUAUGUGACUCAUUUAUUAGAUGAUGAAUAUAAAAUUAGUUAUUAUUAUACUCUUACCAUUUAAUUGAUAAAUACCAAAUUAGUUGAAAUUUAAAUAUUGGGUUAUAUAGCAUUACUCAAAUGAUGCAGUAGAAAUAAAUAAUUGUGACCGGAAUUAUUUCUUAAGGAUAUUAGAUUUGUUUUCAAAACGAUAAUUUACCAAAAUGCAGAUAAGGAUACCAGUUCGCGGUUAAAGGUCCAUAAUCAUGAUUUAUGCAAUAGUGAUGAUUGGUGUGGUGAAUUCGUGAAUGUACGUACAUAAAAAGAAUGAUAAUGGCAGCUACAAAAAAGAACCACCCAUGUCAAGGUUUUCUUAAGUUAUAUUUAAUAUAAAUUAUAGUCAAGUAAGAUUUAUUUACUGUCUCACUUGACUUCACUGAUUUGUUACUCAUUUUUGCACGUAAAAAUUUUGAUUGUAAAUUAUAAUAAACGUUACUUAAGAAAGUCCAACGUGCCAACGUCUUUUGAAUUUCUUAUCUGGAAAAACAAAAAAAAAGAACGUCACUUGAAUUUGAUAACUUCCUCAGUUGACAUUUCAUUGGUAAAUACCAAACACAGAUAGCGGACAGAAAGAGUUGGGGGCAGCACGUCUUUUCUUCUACUUGGGCUCAUUCCUUAGUCCUUACCUAAUAUUUCUAAGAUUUGAGUCUUCAUAUAGUACAGUGCUGUAUGACAUACAGCCUCCUUUUUCCACUUGAACAACCGGUAUUUUACCGGUUGUUCUUUCAAUAAUUUAAAAAAAAAUCAUUUUUAAUGCAGAAAAAAUAAAAUAAAAUGAAAAAAAUUAAGGAAAUUUAUAAACAUUUAACUUAAAAAAUAUUUGAGUGAGAAAAAUAUUUUUAAUCUAAAUGAAAGUUAAAAAAAAAGGUAAAAUAAUCAUGUCCCAAUACUUUUGGUUAAAUAUCAAUAUAUUAAGUUGAUAUUUCAAGUUAAUUUCACAUGUCUCUAAUUUUGGUUAAACUUUCUCACGAAUAGGUUCAUUUGUUUCUACUUUCUAAUUCACUAGUUUUGUGUUUCAUAUUCCUAUUAAAUUCGUUAGAUACUAAUAUUUUGGGUUAAAUUCCAAGUAGAUUCGUUUCUCGUUAAAACAGUUUCUAAAUUUGGUUAUUCUUUCUCCCCUUUUGGUUUAUAUGUUUCAACUAUUAUUCCACUGGUUUUGCGUUUAAUAUUCCAACUAACUUGGUAAGAUUCCGGUUGUUUGGGUUAAAUACCCAAAUUAUUUUUUUUGGUUACAUUAGUUCCUGAUUUUGAUUAAUUUUUUUCAUUUAUAGGUUCAUAUGUUUCAAUUUAUUACUCCACCGAUUUUACGUUUGAUAUUCCUACUAAAUUCGUUAAAUGCCAAAAUUUUGGGCUAUGUUCCAAGUAACUUUAAUUUUCCGUUGGAUGAGUUCCUAUUUUUCAUUGCACUUUCUCUCUUAUUGGUUCAUGUGUUUCAACUAAUUGUUACUCUAAUUUUGAGUUGAAUAUUCCCAUUAAUUUGGUAAGAUUCCAAUUAUUUCGGUUAGUUACAAAUUUAUUUUUCAUAAUUUUAUUUUUGGUUAGGUAAGUUCCUAAUUUUGGUUAUAUUUUCUCCAUUAUGGGUCUAUAUAUUUCAACUAUUAUUUCACUGAUUUUGGGUUUAAUAUUCCAAUUAACUUAGUAAGAUUCCGGUUGUUUGGGUUAAAUGCCCAAAUUAUUAUUUUUUGUUAGAUUAGUUCCUGAUUUUGAUUAAGUUUUUUCAUUUAUAGGUUCAUAUGUUUCAAUUUAUUACUCCACCGAUUUUACGUUUAAUAUUCCUACUAAAUUUGUUAAAUGCCAAAAUUUUGGGUUAUGUUCCAAGUAAUCUUAAUUUUCCGUUGGAUGAAUUCCUAUUUUUCGUUGUAUUCUCUCUCUUAUUGGUUCAUGUGUUUCAACUAAUUGUUACUCUAAUUUUGUGUUGAAUAUUCUCAUUAAUUUGGUAAGAUUCCAAUUAUUUCGGUUAGUUACCAAAUUUAUUUUUCAUAAUUUUAUUUUUGGUUAGAUAAGUCCCUAAUUUUGGUUAUACUUUCUCCCUUAUGGGUUCAUAUAUUUCAACUAUUAUUUAACUGAUUUUGCAUUUAAUAUUCUAAUUAACUUGGUAAGAUUCCGGUUGUUUGGGUUAAAUACCCAAAUUGUUUUAUUUGGUUAGAUUAGUUCUUAAUUUUGGUUAAGUUUUUUCAUUUACAGGUUCAUAUGUUUCAACUUAUUAUUUCAUCGAUUUUACGUUUGAUAUUCCUACUAAAUUUGUUAAAUACCAAAAUUUUGGGUUAUGUUCCAAGUAAUUUUCAUUUUCCGUUUGAUGAGUUCCUAAUUUCCGUUGCACUUUCUCUCUUAUUGGUUCAUUUGUUUCAACUAAUUGUUACUCUAAUUUUGUGUUGAAUAUUCCCAUUAAUUUGGUAAGACUCUAAUUAUUCCGAUUAGGUACCAAAUUUAUUUUUCAUAAUUUUAUUUUUGGUUAGGUAAGUCUCUAAUUUUGGUUAUACUUUCUCCUUUAUGGGUCUAUUUGUUUCAACUAUUAUUCUACUAAUUUUGGUUUGAACCUUCCCAUUAACUUGGCAAUAUUCCAAUUAUUGGGUUAAAUAGUCAAUGUACUCGUAUUACCAAUAACAAUAAUAUUAAUAAGCUGAAUUAUGUUUAACCCCUUACUAUUUUAGUAAAUAUCAACUUACUAUAUAGUACUAAAAAAUCUUUAUUACAACCCUUAAUCUUUUCUAAUAUUUUGUCUAUAAUCUAAGUCCAUUUUUUUUUCUAUUUUCUUCACUUGAAUUUGAUUGUGUGUGUGUGUGUGUGUGUGUGUGUGUGUAUACUUGAGCGAGUAAUCUUUAUACACAUUUAUUCUCAUUUUAUCAUUUUAAUUAAUUGUUUUUAGUUAUCAAGUAAAUUAAUGCAUUCGCUUUCAGCUUUCUCUUUACUCUUUAAAUAAUUUCUUUAAUUUUUCAAAAUUUGACAGUAGAUUAAAAGUAUAUAUAAAGGUGCGUGCAAUUGCUGUGUU
rnacentral:lncRNA from 1 species